AGGAUGGUUAUCAAAUAAAACCAAUUGCUAAGGUUAUUUUUAAUUACUGUAAAACCAUAUUAGAGUAGCUAGAAUCCCAAAUAUAGAAAAAAAUUGAUCAAAGUAUCCCCAUGUUACGAUUUUUUUUAUUUGUGCUAAAUUGCGACCAACCAUUUCCCUCGCAUCGUAUUUUUCAUGCAAAUUUAAUUCUUCCUGGAAGUUGUUACACUCAGAGAGUACGGAGCAUGAGGUAGCCCACCAAUUAAGGAGCCUGAGGGAAGGCGAUUUUGGCAAAUAACAAGUUGGAUGGUCGGACAUACCUCAUGGACCUGGAGUUUGGUUGAGUGUCUCAUGCCCGGCUGAAUUAUGAGUACAGUGAGUUACGAGGUUGAGAGGAAUUACUUUGGUGAGCUUAUCCUUUCCUUCAAUACUGACUUGGG